rnacentral:rRNA from 1 species
GGCGAACGGGUGAGUAACACGUAGGUGAUCUACCCUUGGAUGGGGGAUAGUCCGUGGAAACACGGGGUAAUACCGCAUGAGGCCUUGUGGGUAAAGCCAUGAGGUGAAAGGUGCAAUUGCACCGUCUGGGGAUGAGCCUGCGGUCCAUUAGGUAGUUGGCGGGGUAAGGGCCCACCAAGCCUACGAUGGAUAGCCGGCCUGAGAGGGUGUACGGCCACACUGGAACUGAGACACGGUCCAGACUCCUACGGGAGGCAGCAGCUAAGAAUCUUCCGCAAUGGGGGAAACCCUGACGGAGCGACGCCGCGUGGACGAUGGAGGCCGUAAGGUUGUAAAGUCCUUUUCCUGGUGAAGAAUAGGUGGGGGAGUGGAAAGCCCCCGCGAUGACGUUAGCCAGGGAAUAAGCCCCGGCCAAUUACGUGCCAGCAGCCGCGGUAAUACGUAUGGGGCAAGCGUUGUUCGGAGUUAUUGGGCGUAAAGGGCGUGUAGGCGGCUCACCAAGUCUGGUGUGAAAAUGCAGGGCUUAACCCUGCAGAUGCGCUGGAAACUGGUGGGCUUGAGUUCCUGAGGGGAAGCUGGAAUUCCAGGUGUAGGAGUGAAAUCUGUAGAUAUCUGGAAGAACACCGGUGGCGAAGGCGAGCUUCUAUCAGAGGACUGACGCUGAGGCGCGAAAGCGUGGGGAGCAAACAGGAUUAGAUACCCUGGUAGUCCACGCUGUAAACGAUGUGCACUAGGCGUGGGGCACGUCCGUGCUCUGUGCCGAAGCUAACGUGAUAAGUGCACCGCCUGGGGAGUAUGCUCGCAAGGG